rnacentral:rRNA from 1 species
UUGAAAGGGAAACGAUUGAAGUCAGUCGUACCUAUGGGUAAUCAGCCUUUUGGGUGUGAUUUUGUGGAGCGUGAAGAGUUAAACGCCUUCAUGCCUGCAUAUUCGCGCACUUUGGGUGUACUUGCCCGUAUGGUUGGUUAACAUCAAUUUUGGUGGUCAUAAAAUGACUGGAGGAAUGUAGCUUCGAUCUCGUAUUGAAGUGUUAUAGCCUUCGGUAGAUGUGAUGAUCGAGAUUGAGGAUUGCAACGGAUACCUUUCGGGGCUACCUGUCUGAUCUCUGAUCGUUGCUUUGGUGCUGAAAGCGUGCUUAUAGUUAUCAAAGUCGAUGGUCAAUAGGUUAGAAUGGGUUAAAUUCGUUAAGGAUGUUGACGUA